rfam:Lupinus angustifolius cultivar Tanjil contig_6450, whole genome shotgun sequence.
GGGUCCAUAGCUCAGUGGUAGAGCAUUUGACUGCAGAUCAAGAGGUCACUGGUUGGGCCCU